rnacentral:rRNA from 1 species
AGUGAACGCUGGCGGUAGGCCUAACACAUGCAAGUCGAACGGCAGCACAGUAAGAGCUUGCUCUUACGGGUGGCGAGUGGCGGACGGGUGAGGAAUACAUCGGAAUCUACUUUUUCGUGGGGGAUAACGUAGGGAAACUUACGCUAAUACCGCAUACGACCUACGGGUGAAAGCAGGGGAUCUUCGGACCUUGCGCGAUUGAAUGAGCCGAUGUCGGAUUAGCUAGUUGGCGGGGUAAAGGCCCACCAAGGCGACGAUCCGUAGCUGGUCUGAGAGGAUGAUCAGCCACACUGGAACUGAGGCACGGUCCAGACUCCUACGGGAGGCAGCAGUGGGGAAUAUUGGACAAUGGGCGCAAGCCUGAUCCAGCCAUACCGCGUGGGUGAAGAAGGCCUUCGGGUUGUAAAGCCCUUUUGUUGGGAAAGAAAAGCAGCAGGUUAAUACCCCGCUGCUCUGACGGUACCCAAAGAAUAAGCACCGGCUAACUUCGUG